rnacentral:other from 1 species
GUUCCCCUGCUAUGCUCGUGAUUGGCGGGAUGUUUUUGAUCCAACAGCAUUAUGAAAGGGGGUUCUCUCUUGCCUUUGUGUGUCUUUUUGGUGAGUGAGCAAAAGAGACCUAAUGGGGUAACGGAACACCCACCUAUGUAAGAUUAGGUUCAAAAAGGGCUGCCGACACGGCAUUAGAGCGGGGGAGCA